ncrna:Arabidopsis thaliana miR5643b stem-loop (ath-MIR5643b)
GUGUAGCCGAAGUCCGUAUGAGUCUUUGUCUUUGUAUCCUCUAACAAGGAUAUAAUACUUAGGCUUUUAAGAUCUGGUUGCGA